GAGCUGUGAUGAAAAUGGUGUUUACUGUGAUGGAUGAGUCUGUCACGCUUCUGAUCCUUUCAGACGAAUUGUGGCACAUCUGAGCUC